GAUGAACGCUAGCGGCAGGCCUAACACAUGCAAGUCGAGGGGCAGCGGGUAAGUAGCUUGCUACUUAUGCCGGCGACCGGCGGACGGGUGCGUAACGCGUAUGUAACCUACCUUUGACAGGGGGAUAACAUCGAGAAAUUGGUACUAAUACCCCAUAACAUCACCGGAGGCAUCUUCGGUGGUUGAAAACUCAGGUGGUCAGAGAUGGACAUGCGUUGUAUUAGCUAGGUGGUGAGGUAACGGCUCACCAAGGCGACGAUACAUAGGGGGACUGAGAGGUCAGCCCCCCACAUUGGUACUGAGACACGGACCAA
rnacentral:rRNA from 1 species